rnacentral:sRNA from 1 species
GGGCUCGCGGGGAAGAUGAUGAGACGUUGGAGCAUUUCCUUUGUCAUUGCCCGGCUUUCGCGUCUAACAGAUGGAUCUUUUGGCGUCUUUUAAUAAGCAAUGGUCAUAACGUUCCCGCGGCGAUCAGUGACCGAAACGUGCUUGACGAGAAACGCUGCCUUCACAUAAAAAUGUAGAUACAACAUCAGCAACAAUAACUCAUUUCGAAAACUGUAAAUACCUUCCCAGAAUUUCUUUUGCGUCUAUUGUUAUGUCACAUAGCUCUCCCUAAAGUGUUAUGUGUGUCGAAAUAUAGCCCCAAUCCAGUCCCUGUCUCCUGAAAUCUUCUUCAGUCUGCCCACCACAUCCAUGGUGUCCAGAAGGAAAACUUGGCCUACUCCUUCAGUUAUAGAGACGUCUCAACUUCUCGCAUCACUGUGUGGAGGGCCGUCUUCUCCAACCUGUCCUUGAGUUAUGCCUGAAAUUCUUAGACGUCAGACCCUCUCUCACCUUCAACUCUUUUUUUGUUAAAAAAAAAUUUAUUGUUUGAAAUGUCAAAUGCUAAGUUUUGUAAUAAGCAUUAUUGCCCCUUUACAUUUACGAUACAUUUGUUCUACAUUUACGAGAGCAUAACCAGGCCAUAUUUUGCCAUCUCAAAGGUUUACAAACAGCCAUCAAUCGUUAUUACUACUAACAAAAUAAACAAAAACACUAUUGUUGUUUUUAAUUCAAGCUUGAGAUCUUUCUAGUUUUUCUCUUUUCUUUAUUACUUAUGCAUCGAUAUUUCGCAUUUCAAUGAAAUGCAUUUCAAGAUAUGAUCUACAACAAAUUAAAUUUAUUUUUCAACUGUUGACAUCACUGUUUCUAUUUUUUAUUUAACUUACAUACAUAUCAAAAUGAGAAACAACACACCAAAAAAACGGCAUUAGCAGAACACUGUGCAACAGAACACCAUGAGCCAGAUUUAGAAAGAGUAAGAAUAAUAGAUAACGAGAUAAAUUACAACAAGAGACAGCAAAACGCAUGAAUUACAAAGCAGACACAGAGGGAUGCGCGAGCAACUACAGACUGUUGGUACAACGAGUGAACAAAGUCCAAUAAGAAAAAAUACAAAACAGUAGCAUAGCAGAAAACGACUGUUGAAGACGGUCGCUUAACUAUUGUAUAAAGUUUUUUUCGUGUUUUGUUUCUCAUUUAGAUAUAUUAUAUCUUAAAAAUGCAUUUCAUUAAAAUGCGAAAUAUCGAUGCAUAAAUAAUGAAGAAAAGAGAAAAACUAAAAAGACCUGGAGCUUGAAUUAAAAACAAUAAUAUUGAACACUUUUCUGUGGGGUGCUUAGACCACCAUCAGAGGCCUUUCUACGCGUAUGCUGAUGCCAUUUCGAAGGACUUUUCUAUUUGGAAUAUUUUAGCCAUCAACAUAUGCAUGCGCUGCAGAGUGCCAUUGUACGGAAAUGGGCCAAAAUACCGGCAGCGUACAACUCGUUUUUAACCCAUUCAAAGCAAUAGUCGAGGUAAAAGGUGGUCAUAUCGAGCAAAUUGAAUGGAUUCUGAAAAUUAGAUUACUUCCGCAACUUUUCGUUGCUUGAAUCAAAACAAACAGACAUAGAAGAUUGGACUGCA